GCAAACUCACAACCACUGCAGAAGGACAAGCAGCCAGCCAGCCAGCCAGCCAGCCAGCCAAGCCAGUCUGCCAGCCAGCCAGCCACACUGACUGACUGGCAGUAGACAUACUACUACUGCUACUACUGCUGUGUAAGCAACCCUACUGCAAGCCUGCUCCUUUGCCACUCCCACUGUCACUUCAACUACUACCACUGCCAAGCUAUGCUCGCUCGUAGCUAGGAGCUGUUUACAUUUCUGGGGGAGAUUUUCCGAUUGUUUACGGACGAAACACCGCUUUUUACAGCCCUAAUACCAGACAUUGGUUGGAUCUUAGUAUGGUUACAAGCAGCAAGUUUUAGAUACCUAUUAAAACACCAAGGUAAGCAACAUUGAUUUUUUUUUAAUAAUUUUUCCGUCUGUCUCUGAACAUGAAAGACUAAAACGUAAGUGAAAACAUAAUGUCUCUACUCACUGUCUCUGUCCUGUGUGAUUACUUUUAACCCUUUCAUUACCUAUUUCUGCGCUACAUCAGACUCCAGUCUGAUUUGGCAUGGUUUCUAUGGUUAGAUGCCCUUCCUAAUGCCAACCACUUUACAGAUUGAGCUGAGUGCUUUUUAUGUGGCACCACAUGAAUGGUUUGAUGUGGCACUGCACGGUUGCUUUUACAUGGCACCACAUGUGCUUUUGCGUUGCACCACCAUGAUGAUGAUAAUAGUCCUUUCUACUAAUGGCACAAGAGUGUGGGCUACUAACCCCAAGAUUCUGAGUUCGAUUCCAGGCAGAG